rnacentral:lncRNA from 1 species
UUUGAGGUUGAAGUUUUGUUGGGUAUCAUGAAUUGAUUUUACUUCACACUAUCUUAAUCAAGAAUGUGUGAAGCUUUUGGCAUUUGUAGUUAAAGCUUUGAUGUUGAAGCUUUGUAGGUGAAGCUUUUGUGUUGAAGCUUUGUAGGUGAAGCUUUGGAGUUGAAACUUUUGUAGGUGAAGCUUUGGAGUUGAAGCUUUGUAGGAGCUUUGGAGUUGAAGCUUUGUAGGUGAAGCUUUGUAGGUGAAGCUUUUGUGUUGAAGCUUUUUAGGUGAAGCUUUGGAGUUGAAACUUUUGUAGGUGAAGCUUUGGAGUUGAAGCUUUGUAGGUGAAGCUUUUGUGUUGAAGCUUUGUAGAUGAAGCUUUAGAGUUGAAGCUUUGUAGGUGAAGCUUUGGAGUUGAAGCUUUGUAGGUGAAUUUUUUGUGUUGAAGCUUUGUAGGUGAAGCUUUGGAGUUGAAGCUUUUGUAGGUGAAGCUUUUGAGUUGAAGCUUUGUAGGUGAAGCUUUGGAGUUGAAGCUUUGUAGGUGAAACUUUUGUGUUGAAGCUUUGUAGGUGAAGCUGUGGAAUUGAAGCUUUUGUAGGUGAAGCUUUGGAGUUGAAUCUUUGUAGGUGAAGAUUUGGAGUUGAAACUUUUGUAGGUGAAGCUUUGGAGUUGAAGCUUUUGUAGGUGAAGCUUUGUAGGUGAAGCUUUAGAGUUGAAGCUUUGUAGGUGAAGCUUUGGAGUUAAAGCUUUGUAGGUGAAACUUUUGUGUUGAAGCUUUGUAGGUGAAGCUUUGGAGUUGAAGCUUUUAUAGGUGAAGCUUUUGUGUUGAAGCUUCAUAGGUGAAGCUUUAUAGGUGAAGCUUUGGUGUUGAAGCUUUGUAGGUGAAGCUUUUGUUUUGAAGCUUUGUAGGUGAAGCUUUAUAGGUGAAGCUUUGGUGUUGAAGCUUUGUAGGUGAAUCUUUUGUGUUAAAGCUUUGUAGGUGAAGCUUUGGAAUUGAAACUUUUGUGGGUGAAGCUUUGGAGUUGAAGCUUUGUAGGUGAAGCAUUUGUGUUGAAGCUUUGUAGGUGAAGAUUUGGAUUUGAAGCUUUGUAGGUGAAGCUUUGGAGUUAAAGCUUUUGAAGGUGAAGCUUUGGAGUUGAAGCUUUUGUAAGUCAAGCUUUAGAGUUGAAGCUUUGUAGGUAAAGCUUUGGUGUUGAAGCUUUUGUUGGCACCAUAAAUUGGUUUUGCUUCACAUUGUCUUGAUCAAGAGUGUGUGAAGCUUUUGAGAAUUGUAGUUGCCCUUCAUUGAUGAAGCUUUUGUUGGCACCAUAAAUUGGUUUUGCUUGACACUGUCUUGAUCAAGAGUGUGUGAAGCUUUUGAGAAUUUUGGUUGAACUCCUUUGAUGAAGCUUUUGUUGACACCAUAAAUUGGUUUUGCUUCACACUGUCUUGAUCAAGAGUGUGUGAAGCUUUUGAGAAUUGUAGUUGCCCUCCAUUGAUGAAGCUUUUGUUGGCACCACAAAUUGGUUUUGCUUCACACUGUCUUGAUCAAGAGUGUAUGAAGCUUUUGAGAAUUGUGGUUGAACUCCUUUGAUGAAGCUUUUGUUGGCACCAUAAAUUGGUUUUGCUUCACAUUGUCUUGAUCAAGAGUG